AGCACUUGUAUGUGUCUUUGUUUAACUUGUAACAAAGCCUUACAGACAGUGCAAAUAGUAAAUCCUCUUUUGCAACCCAGAACUUAUUGCUGAUAUGAGAUUUUGGUACAUGUAAGAAGGAAUAUG
ensembl:snoRNA